rnacentral:rRNA from 1 species
UAGCAGCCACGGGAAUACGUAGGGUGCAAGCGUUAAUCGGAAUUACUGGGCGUAAAGCGUGCGCAGGCGGUUAUAUAAGACAGAUGUGAAAUCCCCGGGCUCAACCUGGGAACUGCAUUUGUGACUGUAUAGCUAGAGUACGGCAGAGGGGGAUGGAAUUCCGCGUGUAGCAGUAAAAUGCGUAGAUAUGCGGAGGAACACCGAUGGCGAAGGCAAUCCCCUGGGCCUGUACUGACGCUCAUGCACGAAAGCGUGGGGAGCAAACAGGAUUAGAGACCCCUGUAGUCCCUGUCUCUUAUAC